ensembl:lncRNA
GAACCAUUAGGAGGAACAGGAUUAAACACAGGUGAAACUGGGAGGAGCUGGGAUGCUGGCUCUGCUCUGUUUCAUGCUGCCAUACAAGUUUUAUCCUGUUGCUGAAGGCCACUAUUCAAAAAGCAGUUGCUAAGAUCAUAUUCUUUGCCCAUCAACCUCAACCCCCCGGUGUCAGCUCCUCCUACACUCUCUGAAUCACUCCUCAUCCUCCCUUUUCUUCAGGACAUGAAGGUCAGGCUUUUGUAUCCUCUGUGAAUGCUGACCAUGGCUGGUCUUUCUGCCCACCUGCCCCUUACAGAGCCUCCACUGUCAGAGGGUGCUGGAGUUCCCACCCUAUAUGAAUAGGGGUAAACAGAAGACCCGAGUGCCCACUACUCAUUGGAAAGUUCCACGUGAACAAUGAGUCUAAUCAAACCAACAAACCAAAGCAAAUCACAAAUCCAGCAGAUCAUCCCCAUCUGGAAAGGUUUGUCUGAAACAAUUUUUGGCAUGGAAAAGUGCUCUAAGACAAACCUCUGGUUAACUUGGAAUCGAAGACCUUAAUGCAAUGGAGAGCAAUCUCAAUAAUUUCUGAUGGAAAUGGCAGUGAGCAACCAAUUUUUAGCAGAUUUUCCUUUUUCAUCCAUGAAAGUCAGCGCAAAACUCACAGAAUCAAUGAGUCACAGAAUUGUAGGGGUUGGAAGGCACCUCUAGAGAUCAUCUAGUCCAACUCCCUGAGAAAGCACAUUCCCUACAGUAGGCUCCACAGGAAAAUGUCUGUGCAGGUUUUGAGUAUCUCCAGAGAAAGAGACACCACAGCCUCUCCGGGCAGUAAAGACCUGUUUUUCUCAUACUCUAAUGGAACUUCCUGUGUUUCAGUUUGUGCUUGCUGCCCCUUCUUUUGCUGGGCACUUCUGAAAAGGGCCUGGUCCUAUGCACCUGACUCCCACCGUACAUAUAAGCAUUGGUAAGUCCCCACCUCGGCCGUCUCCUGUCCAAGCUGAGCUGUCCCAGGGCUCUCAGCCUAAAACUCAGAAGAUAUGAGCUAAUGCAAACUAAAACCAGGAAAGAAGCAUUUAUGGUGGCUGCAGAAACCACAGCAGAAGGAGCUGCAGAUCCCCCAGCACAAAGUUCCUGUGCUUCCCUCUGAGAAGGACACUGGGCUGUGAUCAGGAGGCAGAACUGCGCAGUCUCUGCUCUGGAACACCAAAAAAUAUCCAUAUUAUGUCAUGGAAUCUCACCUGUGUAAAGCUCCCUCUGCCCUUGUUCUCUGAGCUCAACUAUGAGAACCUGGCUCUGCUGGCGGUGUCUGCUGUGGCUCCUGGCCCAGACACAGGCUUGGUUUUGCCUUACCUGGGAAUUAGAAGAAUGGGAUGAAUAUGGGAGAGAAGAAGGGUCGAUGCCCCACACCUGUCAGUGUUUGAGAGGCAUUUGGAUAGAGCCUUCAAUAAUACACUUUAAGUUUUGGUUAGCCCUGGUGUGAUCAGACAGUUAGACUUGAUUAUCUUUGUAGAUCCCUUCCACCUGAGCUAUUCUCUCCUUUCUCUCUUCUCCUCUCAUCUUCUCCUACCCUACUCUACCCUAUAUGGUUCAAGCCAUCUCUUGUCCUGAUGUGGAUUUGAGGCUAAUUUCCAUACCACUGAACUUCCUGCUCUUCUAGAAGAAGGACAUGAAUAACAUAAAAGCAAUGGAGGAUUUGUUGAAAGUAUUUCUGAAUGAUGCAGACCUCUUUUCUUGUCUGUUCUGUCUGCUUCUUACAAAGGCUCUGGCCAGGUUCACUGCCAGUGUGUUUUUUUUUUUCCCCUGUUACUACAUCACUGAACAAGCAUGGAAAAAAAAAUGUCAUUUAGUUGCUUUUUAGAUAUUAGCCAGGAGUGGCAAUAAAUUUAAUGCAGAAGUUUGGGAUAAAGCAAAAACUAUUUCUGAGGAAUGACAGCAUGUGUGAAGCAUAAUGCUUGAGGCUUAGCAGUUAAAUUCUGAACCCAUGUGAUAUUAUGCUGCCCUAUGUCAUUAACAAGCUGUCAAAAUGACAGCAAACUGGAUUAUCUCCUUUGUAAUGCAGUCUGUUCAGCACAAAAUAAAUGACUGCUGACUUAUAACAAUGCGCAGCACCAUUAUAUUGAAACCAUGCUGUGACCAGAGGCAAUCCUACGUGGAAUUACCUUGGGAAAUGAAGCUGCAAUUAAUCUUUUCUAGCUACAUCUUACCCCAGGUUCUUCUUAUCCUAAUAAUCUAAUUAAAGAAUGCAUUAUUUCCAGUUUCGUACCAGCAUAACUUUCUUGAUGCUAUUGUAAGUAUACCGCUAGUGACUUGGGGUAACACAGGAGAGAAGCAAGGCAUGAAUACAUCCAGCACAACCACACCACCCUGGAUUUUUCCACUUGAGGAAUGUCUCUAAUGUACUCUCUGGGGACCAUCUUUGAGGAGAAAUCUGAAGUUUGACUCUGAUGCUAUCAGGCUGCAAUCCUAGCAGCUUUUGCUAUCAACCAAACCAACAGAAAUAAGGGGACGAUGAUAAUUCAU